GUAAUUUUUAUAAUUAUUUGUUAAGUAAAUUUAGUUCCGCGAUUUGAUAACAGAUGUCGCUGUUAGGCCUCUAGAUCGCGCUAUCGCUUACCCGACAA